rnacentral:rRNA from 1 species
UACGUAGGAGGCAAGCGUUGUCCGGAAUUACUGGGCGUAAAGCGCGUGUAGGUGGUGGGACAAGUCUGCUGUGAAAGCGCCUGGCUUAACCGGGCGAGGUCGGCGGAAACUGUCGCACUCGAGGACGGUAGAGGGGGGUGGAAUUCCCGGUGUAGUGGUGAAAUGCGUAGAGAUCGGGAGGAACACCUGUGGCGAAGGCGACUACCUGGACCAGCACUGACACUGAGGCACGAAAGCGUGGGGAGCAAACAGG